rnacentral:sRNA from 1 species
GACUCCGCCCAAUCUCUCGUGUACCCUAGACGUGAACGAGUGCCUGGAGGGCGAUUUCUGCUUCCCUCACGGCGAGUGCCUCAACACUGACGGCUCCUUUGCCUGUACUUGUGCCCCCGGCUACCGACCCGGACCCCGCGGAGCCUCUUGCCUCGACGUUGACGAGUGCAGCGAGGAGGACCUUUGCCAGAGCGGCAUCUGUACCAACACCGACGGCUCCUUCGAGUGCGUCUGUCCUCCGGGACACCGCGCCGGCCCGGACCUCGCCUCCUGCCUCGACGUGGACGAAUGUCGCGAGCGAGGCCCAGCCCUGUGCGGGUCGCAGCGCUGUGAGAACUCUCCCGGGUCCUACCGCUGUGUGCGGGACUGCGAUCCUGGGUACCACGCGGGCCCCGAGGGCACUUGUGACGAUGUGGACGAAUGCCGGAACCGGUCCUUCUGCGGUGCCCAUGCCGUGUGCCAGAACCUGCCCGGCUCCUUCCAGUGCCUCUGUGACCAGGGUUACGAGGGGGCACGGGAUGGGCGUCACUGCGUGGAUGUGAAUGAGUGUGAAACACUACAGGGUGUAUGUGGAGCUG